rnacentral:rRNA from 1 species
GAUGAACGCUGGCUUGCCUAAUACAUGCAAGUCGAGCGAACGGACGAGAAGCUUGCUUCUCUGAUGUUAGCGGCGGACGGGUGAGUAACACGUGGAUAACCUACCUAUAAGACUGGGAUAACUUCGGGAAACCGGAGCUAAUACCGGAUAAUAUUUUGAACCGCAUGGUUCAAAAGUGAAAGACGGUCUUGCUGUCACUUAUAGAUGGAUCCGCGCUGCAUUAGCUAGUUGGUAAGGUAACGGCUUACCAAGGCAACGAUGCAUAGCCGACCUGAGAGGGUGAUCGGCCACACUGGAACUGAGACACGGUCCAGACUCCUACGGGAGGCAGCAGUAGGGAAUCUUCCGCAAUGGGCGAAAGCCUGACGGAGCAACGCCGCGUGAGUGAUGAAGGUCUUCGGAUCGUAAAACUCUGUUAUUAGGGAAGAACAUAUGUGUAAGUAACUGUGCACAUCUUGACGGUACCUAAUCAGAAAGCCACGGCUAACUACGUG